UNCAUGAUACUAGGUGUGCAUGGCAGC
rnacentral:piRNA from 1 species